AGAAAAGAACAACCAAACAAAGAAAACACCAAACCACAAAGAGAUAGAAAUAAAACUCAAGAAAGACAAUUGAAGCUAAUAAAAACAAUUGCUCCCCCCUGACCAAUGCCCCUCCCCACUCUUCACUUUCCCUCAGCUGUAUAUGCUGAGCAUGAUGGAGUAUCCCUUUGGUCAGUUGUGGGCAGCUGUCCUAGUUGUGUCCCCUCUCAGCUACUUGUGUCCCUCCAGCCCUCCAGCCUCCUCACUGGUGGGACACAAUGAGGAUCAGGAAAGGCCUGACAAGGUGUGAGCACUGCUCAGCAACAGCAAAAAGAUCCCUGUGUUACCAACACUGUUUCCAGAGCAAAACCAAAACAUAGCUCCAUGACAGAUACUGUGGGGAAAAUUAACUCUACAAAAUCAGCACAUAUAAGAAACAAAGGAGCCACUCUAGUUUACAGAUGAAAAGGUAGAACCCUACUUGUGCCACAAGAUACACAGGGUGUGCAUAUCCAACAAUCCUCCAUGCUACAGUGGUGCAAUUACCAGGGCUAGUACUCACUUCUGUGUUGCCCUGAUCUUCCAGACCUGGAGGUGAAAGUCCUGCUUCAUGUGGAUAAGGUCAUGGGAGCUGUAAAAACAAUGCUUUUCACACUGCUCCAUCUUCCCUCUAUCUCCAUUGCUUUAUGUAGGGUAAAUUAAAUACAGGUCCUUCGUGGUCCCUAGCUCCUGUCUCCUCUCUUCCCAGCAGGCUCUUAAUAAUCUUUUCUAUUAAUUUGCAUCUCCUUUCUCUGCUGCACACAGCCAUGCCCACACAGCUGUCAAAGCCAGGACAUAAUCCUCACCUGUCUGUGCACCACAGUCCUCAGUCCUUUAUGCAUCCAGUGUAAUUCAUCAAGCUCAUCUUAAAAUUGCUAGUUCUGUUUGCUUUUGAAGUAUCACCCAACUUCUCUGGGCAGUCCUUAGGCGUGUCCUAUCCUUUCUUCUUGAUUUCCGUUUGGUUACGUGCUUAGGUGCAUACAGAGGUUUGCUAAUUCAGAUCGUGUUUUGAGCAGAAGAACAUGAGAACUUUGAUCUGAAAGACAUUUGACUGUUAGAGAAUGAAAGACAUUUCUGUGUUAGAGCAGAAAUGUACCACAGAGUAAGGAAAGUGGGAGGGAGAUUUCAUUAGCUUUUUUAUCACUCGGUAUGAACAUAUACAUGCAGUUUCUGGAAUCACACUGGCUACUUGUUAACUUGCUUGGACCCUGUACAAUUUUAAUUGGCAUUUUAAUUUUUUUUAAAUUUUAUGAUUGAUCUGUGUUCAUUAUUCUCCUCAGUCACCUGCAGCUUCUUAAAGUCUUGCAGUCAUAUACAAAAGUGAUUAUAUAAAUCAAAGUCUAGUUUAUCUGAAGAGACACAGUUAAAUAAAAGUAUAGCUGAGCUAUUACAGAAAUCUUUUGUAAAUCAUCAUCACUACUACUACCAACUGCUAUAUUAAAGUAUUUCUCAGUUUUAUAAUAAUUUUUGCAAUGUAAACCAACUGUCAGCUUUGUUAUCUAUGCUCAUUUGUAGAUGAUCUUUCUUUUUUUACUCAAAUUAAUAUUGCUACCUUUCACAUUAGGAUUUGUCAAAUGCAAAUCUAACUAGUCAAAUUUAAAUCUAGUUUCACUAGUCCAAAGUUAAUUAAUUUCUCUUGAAAUGUUCUCAUUGCCUUGUCUCUUGUUACUAUGUCCAAGACAGAACAUACAGUGGUACUGAGCUGCAAGGUCUGCUCCAUCCAGAACUGAGAUUUUACUUUAUAAGAUGAUUCUGCAUUGUGCUUUCAGCAGCAUCCCAUGCCAUCUCGUUGUGGUAUUCCAGGCCAGUGUUAACCCAGAAAAUGGACAAGUGACCACAGCUGACAAACAUUAGACCUUGCUUCUUUUGCAUGAUCAUAUCACCCACUCAUCUUCCUUUCUGGUCUCCUAAAGCUUUAACCCCUUUAGUUCUCAUUAAACAUAUGAAUGAUUUCAUAAAGGAUGAAAACCUUAAUGUAACACCAAAAGAAAAGCAGAAAAGCAUUUUAUUGCAUAGACCGAUUAUAAAUAUUAUAAAUUGUAUUAUAAAUUAUCAAUUAUAAUUAUAAAUUAUUAUUAUUAAUUGUUAUGGAAUAAUUACCAAGAAAUAAAGGGGCUGUCUAAGUAGCAUUGCUUUACAGUGCCUUGACAGAGACACCUGGCUUUGUUAAAGGUAUUGUCAAAAAUGUCUUGAGGAAAGUAAGAGUUCUCCCAAAUCUUAUAAAAUCUGAGCACAUGCUACACAAACCAGAGAAGAUUUCCUUGAUUAGACUCUCCAGAAAUCCGCCAGUAAGUAGUUACUCUGUAUUAUUCCAAAUCCACCAAAUGUUAUGCCAGACAGAGCUGUCACCUAUUCAAGAAGACAAAGGUAUUACCGGAGAUGACAAAAUCAGGGACAGCCAGCCCUAUUUACCACUCUGCCACCUCUGCCUGCCUGAAGUUUUUGAACCACAGUGUCUGCAGUUUUUGAACCUCUCAGGGCUGUUAAAGACAGUACAGUUAGGUACAGGGAUGUCCUUGGCAACUGGGUGAUAGAGUUCAAAAUUUUUAAAAUCUGCUUUGCCUCAUCUCUCCUCAAGUGGCAAGAAGCUCUGCUGCAAAAUUGGAUUGCUUCUUUGCUCUCCAUGAAUGAAAAUCCUCUUAUGUCUUGGUAGAUUCUUAAGAAUAAAAUGCAGCAUAAUGAAAGGAAUUUGUAGGGAAACUCUUCCACUACAUCUUCUCUGGUUGCUUCUUUCCUUUUUCUCUGCUUUAUCUAUUUCCCUUUUUAUAUUACUUCUACUGUUCUCCUCCCCACCUUUCUUUGUAGCCUGUUUGAAAAAACUAAGGUGUUUUCUUAGAAACUCUAAUCUAAAAACCUUUUAACUGUUAAAGAUUAACCAGUAAAGCAUCUGUGGAAAAGCACCCACUUCCCUGACAUUUGACUCCAUCCUGCCACAUUGAGAAACUCCGCUAUUGUGAUGCUUCAAUAGCUUGUUCACACUUAACAGAUUGACUGGAAGGCAGGAAAGCCGGCUAAUGUCAUGCCACAUAAUGUCGGGAGCCGCAAAUGCCCCAAAUCAUGAACGGGUUUAGCACCUGUCUUUCAGUGGAACAAUCUAUUGGUGCUUUUGAUUGCAAUGAAGUUUUCUACUGAGUUUUCUGAGAGUGGCUUGUGCACUUUCAGAGUGGAACAGAGGAGGGUUGCAGGAGUGCCUGUGCAUAGAGGGAAAGGGAUGAAUACAGCAAAUCAGGCCCAGGUAGGGGACAUAAAAAAGGGCUUUUUAGUAGUUGGUAUUUGGUUGACCCUGCUGGAUGUCAGGUGCCCACCAAAACUGCUAUGUCACUACCCUCCACAACUGAACAGGGGAGAGAAAAUAAAAGGCUCAUUGGCUGAGAUAGGGAUGGGGAAGGGAUCACUUUUAGGUCACAAAACACUGAACUUGAUAGAAUGUAUUGCUAAAACAUUCGAUUGAAUGUAUUAAUUGAACUAAUUAAUUGAAAAUUAAUUGAAUUAUUGUUCAAUUCAUUAAUUAAUUGAAUUAAUGAAUUGAACAUAAAUUGAAUGUAUUACUAAAAACAUCAGAGCUGUAUAAUGAGAAAAUUAAAAACACCUUUCUCUACUCCUCCCUUCUUCCCAGCUCUGUCUCCUUCCCCAUAAUAAUGCAGGGAGACAGGGAAUGGGGGUUAUACUCAGUUCAUCACACGUUGUUCCUGUCAUUGCUCAGGGAAAAGAGGCCAUCCCCUGCUCCACCAUGGGAUGUCCCCCAUGGGACAUAUUCUUCCCAUAGGCUACAGUUCUUCACAAACUGUUCCAGUGUGGACCCCUUUCCAUAGGGCGCAGUCCUUAAGGAAAAGCCUGCUGCAGUGUGGGUCUCCCACAGGGUCACAAGUCCUUCCAGGAAACCUGCUCCACCAUGGGCUCCUCUCUCCGUGGGUCUGAAAGUCCCUGCCAGCACCUGCUCCAGCCCGUGCCUCCCACAGGAUCACAGGCUUUUCUCAGGCAUCCACCUGCUCUGGCCUGGGUCUCUUCCAGGGGCUGCAGGUGGAUCUCUGCAUCCCCAGGGACCUCCAUGGGCUGCAGGGCCACAGCUGCCUCACCAUGAUCUCACCACAGGCUGCAGGGGAACCUCAGCUCUGGUGCCUGGAGCACCUCCUGCACUGACCUUGGUAUCUAUGGAGCUGUUCCUUUCUCCUGUUUUCACUCUGCUGUUCUCUGAGUGCAUUAACAUCUGUGGAACAGCUUCCUGUUCCUUCUUGAUUUGUCUGUGGCCAGCAGUGGAUCCAUCUUGGAGCCAGCUGCAAUUGGAUCUGUCUGACAUGUGGGAAGCUUCUUUCACCUUCUCACAGAAGCCACUCCCACUACCAGAACCUGGACACACAGACCCUGUACAAUGAUGUACAUGUACAACUGGAAAGGCAAAGCUUUGGAAUUAGUAUUUUAGAUCAUACAAUAUUACUUCAGACAAGAAAACUUAAUGCCCUGGCUUUGACAGGCAUUUUCCUAAAGGUAUCCACACAUGUUGAAUUUGAGGGGCCAAAUAUGGUUCAAAUUUAUCUGAAUUUACAGGAUUAACAGAUGUUUUGGCCUUUCCUGUAUACAACUUGAUGAAAAGCAGUUUCCAAUGUCAUUGAGAAGGUUCCACUUGGCAUUUUGCAUAGUGCUUUUUUAGUGAUAUUAAAAUAUUGAUUUAUAUCUCAUAAUAAAAUCAUGGUAGAAACCAUUUCACAAUUUAGAUUGAAUUAGGCUAGACUGCUAAAUUUCUGGGGGGUUUUUUAGGAAUUUCAGUAAAAUUUCAAGUUGCUAUUCAAUUUUUGCCUUAAAAUAGAAGUAAUUACUUUUAUUAUAUUCUGAUUUGUGAUCUGGAAGCUUAUGAAUCCCCUAGCAGAGACAUAGACCAGAUAUCCAAGAACAAAAAGUAUUAUCUUUUUGAUUAUCUUUUUGAUAAUCAAAAAGAGAGUGGGAGAAAGGGGAUGUUGUUCAUUUUCUCGUUGAUGUAUUUUUAAUUUUUUUGUUGUUGUUGUGGUUGUUGUAAUAUUAACUUCUGAAUGUAUGUAUACAUCCUUCAGUAUUCUCUGGAAUUUGCAGAAUCUUAGACCAGAGGAUGAAUCUUAGACCAGGGGCAUGUCCUGAAUAAAGCCAUUAAUUCCUGUAUGGCUUCAUAUAUGAAUGUAUUGCCACCAGAUAAAAACCAGAAGUGCUUGGAGGUAACUUCUUCUCUACAUCUUCAGUAUCUGAUAAAGAGACAAGUUACCUUAAGAAUGGAAAGAGUGACUAGAAAGCAACAGUAAGUAGUAGUCCUUUUAUUUUGGUUACAGUUGCAUUAUAUCUACUGGGAAGCAUUUCAGCUGCUUUCAAGAACAUAAAAUGUCUCUGAAAAUCUUGACCUAAGUUUAGAAUUUCCAUUUUGUUCUCUUACUGCAUCUCUCAAUAGAAAAGGUGAGCACAACAAAUACAAUAAAUAUAAUACCUGAACUGCAGUAAGUCUCUCUAUGAAACAGUAGUUGUCAUGAAGGGAAACGAUUAAAGAGGAGGCUUCAGAAUAUUAUUUAGAAAUACUUGAGAAGACGUGUUAGAAUCACAGAAAUGACAAGUAGCAUCAGUUAUCAGUUUUCUGCUAUCCAGUUUAAGAGAAUGUUUUAACUUCUAGAAGUACUGAAUUUUUUCCUAUGCUCUGUCUAGAAAUCAUUGUUUUUGAGUUUGUGGGUGUCACAUGCACAGAGAAAACAGUACCUCAAGUGCAGAACUGGUCUAUGAAUGUAGGACUUGCAAAGUGCCCUGAAGAUUUAGCCCCCAAAAUGUCUCCAUAUGAAAAACAUCAGACUAUGUAUUAUUCCGUAACAGUCCAUAGACUGAUGCAGAGGUAACAAUCAAGGAAGUACGGGGGUUUUUUUAAAUAUAGAGAUGUUUAAAUAAGAUUCAAAUAAGCUUCUUUUUGGAAAUGUUGAGAUUUUAAAAUAUUAUUUGAUUGCAAACAGUUGCUUUGUGCUGUUUGAAGAGUUCCUAUAGCCUAUUGCUUUGCCUGUAGUUACUCUAGAGUGGGUUUAAAGGCAUGUCAAAAUGUGUGGAGGUAUGAAAACAAGCACCCUUAAAAGGACUUCUGCAGAAGAAAUUCUUUGCUGUGAGACUGCUGAGGUACUGGAACAGAGAAGGUUGCCCAGAGAAGUUGUGGAUGCCCCAUUCCUGGUAGUGUCAAGGUCAUGUUGGAUGGAGCUCUGAGAAACUGGUCCAGUGGGAGGUGUCCUACACAUGACAGGGGGGUUGGAGCUAGAUGAUCUUUGUGGUCUCUUCAAACCCAAACCACUCUAUGAUUUUUUUUUUCUCAGCUCCCACCCACACCUAAAAGUGAAAUAAUUCUCUGCCAUUUGAUAUGAAGUCACAUUCCCACUGUCACAUUUUACUCUAGAUCUAUUUAACCAUAGUAAAGAAGGAGUAGGAAGAGAGAAAUAAAUACAGCACUACUAUGAAACACACUGUAAGACAAUGGUGCCUUGGGCAGGUGCUUAACAUGUCCCCAGAUGCAGCUGUGAAAAAUGCCAGAAGUCUGCCUGGGAAAAGCUUCUCAGCAUGAAUACCGGCCUGAGAUAUCUUGUAACAAAAAUAUGCCCUGAUGCAUUUUAAGAAUCUUGCUGACAAGUAGAAUUGCUUAUCAAGAAUAGAGAGAUAAUGUUUUUGGUUGUUGGCUUUGGUUUGUUUGUUUGUUUGUUUGUUUUUGGGGGGGGGGUUCUUUUUUGGGGGGAGAAACCAUUUGGUUUCUGAGACUGUAUGUUUCACUAGUUUGUUUGGUGGAUUUUCUUUCUUCAAUACUAGAUUUAGAUUUAGAUUCUCCAAGGCAGAAUGUCUUUUUGUAGGCAGGUACCUAUUCAUACAUUUAAGCCUAGAACCUCACUGUUUGAUAACUCUGCUUUGCUCAUUUAAACAGAUUAAGUAGCAUCUUUAUCUGUAAAAUUCAUUGUUCUGAAAUGUUCCAAGUGCCAUUUAUGGUAAGUGGAAUGCAAUAAAGGAACUUCAAGCACUUUGUAGAAAAACCAGACUACUUAGCCACAUCUCUGCCUGCUAGUAAAGUCUGCUUAAAAGAUAUUCUCAUGGCUGUCUUGAAGAUCAAGGGUAAUAAUGCCAAUGUAAAUGAAUCUGUGUUGGCCUGCAAAGGGGUAUGCAAGGCUUUUUGCUUGAGCCGAUAAUAAAGUCAGGCCAGUGAAAUCCCCAGAGCACAGACAAGUAACAGUCUGGGCAACUGUUUGAUAACCUCACGGGGCCAGCUUCUCUCCUGUCACCUCUCCUCCUGACAUGGUGCUUAUUAAGUACAGCUCAGCUUUGUCAGGCUAGUCAGACUGAAGAGAGUUUACUCAGUCCUUGAGGAAGGCUUUAGUUCCUUGCUCUGGCUUUAUUGUUGCUGUGGUUACAGACACUUGAGCUGGGAAGAGUAAAAGGAGUUCAGAUAUGUUUAUGUGAACUCUUAUGACAUGCAUAUGGAAAUGCAUAUCCUUUAGAAGGAGAACUUUAAUUACAAUAGGAAGGCAUGUGUUGAUGUGCUGGCUGCAUUGUGGUGGAUCAGUUUUUUCCUGUGAAAAUGUCAGAUUUGAUUGUAAAAGUUUAAGAGAAGAGGAAUACAACAAGAAAUGCAGGAAUAAAAGUUUCUCUAACACUGCCUUCUACCCCAUGGAGGAAAAGAUAGUGAGGUGUAUGCGUGGCUGUGUUAGCUGGUCAGGAGUGUAUAGACAGUAUCAGAAUCUUUCGUUUGGAGAAGGCUACAGAUAGAUAGUUUUAUGUAAGCAAAUGUUGAGUACAUCUUAGCUAUUUGAGUAUGUGGUUUUAUUUUCCCUUUGUUUUAAGAAGUCUUAAAACUCUCUGCUACCCUUUGGAGAAUGUUCAAAAGGCACUAAAGAGAGAAGAUGCAAGAAAGGACAUUCUUGAUGCCUAUUUCCAUGCCAUGACCUUGUUGCCAAAGAGGAAGGAGAAGACCAUGGGCAGAACAGAGUAUGAAAGAGGUUUUUUAGGGUAACAACAGUGUGAAGUGAAAUCUUUGUCAUCUCCUCCAUCCAGAGUUUUGUUGUACACAUUUUCCGUAUUUGCUGUUUUCCCUGCACAGCUUCAGCUCAUUAUUUGAAGGGACUGAAGACUGUAACUUGUCCUAGCAACAAAUCUCUCUAAGAUGCUUCAGGUAAGUCCUUAUAAGAUCUCACCAGGCAGUUUGUCUAACUGUUCUGAUCAGUGUCUUCCUCAGUCCAAAGAGAAACAUGAAUGCCCUUCCCACUGAGGGUGGCGUAUGAUGCUCUCCCACACUCCAGAUUACAACAGAUCUAUGACUGCUACAGCGUUUUCUUCAUGACUGCCACUGCUACACCUGCUAUCUGAACAUGCACUGGAAGAUGGAACUGUCUGACAGGCAUUUGCCAAUGAAGAUGCUCAGUUUCAAUACCAACCUGUGGAACCCAGCUAUGACAAGAAAGUACAAACUACAUGGCACACAAUUAAAAAUUUUUUGAAAUUCCCGGCUUAUUCUUCUUAGCAUUUUCUCCAAAAAUUAAACUAAAUUAGCAAGUUCUUACACUUGAUAAACUAGUCACUUCUAAAUUUAUUGGAACCACAAUUUAGAAAGAGGCAGUACUUAUUUUAAUCCAUUUGAAACAUUUCUUGCCUAUGUCUUGACCAGCAUGUCUGUCUCACAACUAUUUUCCUAUGGUUUACCUUUCCUUGAGUCUUAGUAGCUAUAUCUUCAGUUUCAAAGUAACUUCUUAAUCUCUGGUCUCUUUACCAAGCACAGGUGACACAAUUGUCAUGGGGAGAAUGGGAACAAAAACAACCUUAUUUGUUUAAAAUCAGAUGGGGAAUCCAACCAGGCAUAACUGUAACAUAUUCCCAGAAAUGUGUUGAGUACCUCUUUCCCUUGAUUAUGCAUUUCUUUACUUUCAUUUUCCUGCUUUUCUCCCCAGUCCCAUCUGCAGAAUGUUUUUAUAAAAAUAAAUAAAUGAAAAUCCAUUAAAGGAUUAGGUUUCCACAAUGUAUUGUUAGGUGCAUGUAAUGUGAUCAAGAAUCAAUUUUAGAAAGUAACUUCUUGGUAUGAUUUUACUGUAGUUUUGCAUUCCUUGAGUAAUGUCUCAUCUGCAAGGCAGAAUGGACUGUGUAUUUGUUAUAAUUAAUCAUAAAACUGCCUUUUCUAGUCUUUCAUUUUUCUUCAUAUCUCAGAGACUGGCAGAGAAAGGGAAGAAAAACUGCUUCACUGUUAGGAAGAUUAUGCAAUUUAGUAGCUUUUAUGGGAGUCCUUGUGGAUACUGGCAUAGGAGAGACAGGAGGAAAAAGUAGAUGGUUGGUUUUUGAACAGGGAAAGGUGAGCUUUCGAUGGCUUCCUCAGAAGUAUUUUAGAUUUCUGUUUCUUACUGUGACACUCAGUUGCCUUACAAGUCAUGUCCUGAGCCUUGGUGGUCUGAGUAUGAAACAAAAUAACUCAAGGGCUUUGAUCUGAAGGUCAGUUCUCAUGCCUUCACCCAGGUGUACCAUCUUUGUAAUGCAUUCUCACAGCAAAAUGUCUGCAAUCUGGCAAAAUUAGUAGAAGCUUUUGCAUGGACACUGAACAUAGCAGAAAGAAAGCUCUUUGACAACAUCCCUGUCCCUCCAGUUCAAUGAACAUGGCAACAGUGAACUCCUAGAGUGUGGUAUUCACUAAUGAAGAAAUAGGAAAAUUAUAUGAGAGAGAGCUAUUUAUACGUUUGUGUCACCACAUGCUGCUUGGAUAAAGAGUCUGUCUCUUUCAGGUUCAAAUUGCAAACCAGCAGGUACUCAAGCCUACAACAAAGAUCUUAUUUUUUCUUACCCUUGCAGAUGUUGUGCAGCACAUGGUGUGUGGAGAUGACACAGACAGCUACAUCUUCAUUAGCAUCAAAGAGUUUCCAUAGGCUAUAUUUGUUUAUCUUUGCUUGCCUCAGUAACUCACUUGUUUCUAAAAGCCCAAAACAAACUUUUAUCAGGUAAAAUCCUUGAAUCCUUGUUGAUUGUUCUGAUUUGGAAGUGGAGUAACAUGUUACUAUUAGCUUAUUGUUAUUGAUCUUCCUACUGCUCUAAGCCCUUCUGGUGGAUUGCACCACAGCAUGCACCUGUCAGCUUGGCCAACUAUAGCCUAACCAGCACUGUGCAGGUGUUCUGCAAAGUUAACAUUCACUUCUUUGUUGACUUUUCAUUUUGGUGGGUUUUUUUUGUGGGUUUUUUUUUUUGUUUUUUGUUUUUUUUUUUUUAAUGAUACAUGUUAGAAUCCUUUUGGAGUCAUGGAGUUCCUACUCUCUGAAAGGAGCUUAUGUUUCCAGACAUGUUUAUGCACCCAUUUCAUGGAUAACACUGUGAUUACAGCAUGCUGUUCUCGCCCAGGGACAGCAAACAGGUCCCAUAGCCCUCCAGCAUCCUAAGAAGAUUGACUUCCUUUAGCUUUGUCCGUGUGAGUUCCUACAGGAUAAAACUUUUGCUCCCAUCACAUACAGGUAAAAUUUUACUUAAAAAAGAUUUAAUACAGUUGGUCGAUAGCAUCCAAAUUAGAAUUCUCAGCUGUGAAAAGCUGUAAGAUGUAGGCUCCGAACAGCCACUGUCCAGCUCUUUUUUCCAUAUACAGAUUUCAGACAUGGGGCAGACUAAAAUGAAAAAUCUGCUGAUGCAAGGUUAUGAUUUUUGGGAACAGGCUGGCCAGGUGUACUUUGGUUUUCUCAUUAUGUUCACUUAGGCUUAUUUGGCUGACUGCACUAUUUGUGGGUGAUUUAAUUUUCCUUCCUGGUAUAGAUUGAGCUGCAAUCAGCCUGCAUUCAAGCAAUACACUCUGAGGAGAAAAGUUGAUGAUGCAUGUCUGAGGAAGAAUUCCUUUGUGGUGUGGAAACUGAUCCUGGAAAGUCACUGCCAGCAUUACACAAGGGGCCAUCCAUGGUGUUCUGGAAGAGACCUAGACAGAAAAACUAUCAGAAAGCCUCAGCUACAUGAACGGCACUGUUCUGGCUCAGAGGAUUAGGAGAAGAAGCAAUAUUUUCUGCAACAACCAGUAAGAAAAGUCUGAAAGUAACUCCACCUGGAAAAUGAGAAAGGGCAUAGAGGGCCCUUUUUUGCCAAUUCAGCUGCCCAACACAGUGCUGUGAUAGCUGUGGGAGACUGGCCACGUGCAGCAAAACCUGCCUCAGACAGGUCUGGCCGUUGUGACUCAGAACACCAGUACAAGUGCACAGGCAAACCAGGUGCUCUCCAGAAAAGCAAAGGUUGCAAACAAAAUCUGGGUUAUCCUGGCAUUUCUCUUCAAGAUUGUUGUACAGAUAUCUGUUGGUGUUCUUGGGAUGACUACCUUGUACUGUGUCAGUAAAAGCAGAUAAUACUGUUGCUGGAGUAGGGAGUGGUUCCUGUGGUUCUCCUGCUGAUCAGCUGUUCAAGGCUUCAA